AGCUUUGAUUGUCCAAACGCAAUUCUUGAAGACAUGCUGCGAUACCGUAGCUCAAGAUUUGUGUGGGGACAUCAUCAGCU
rnacentral:pre_miRNA from 1 species